rnacentral:rRNA from 1 species
CCUACGGGGGGCAGCAGUGGGGAAUAUUGCACAAUGGGGGAAACCCUGAUGCAGCGACGCCGCGUGGGCGAGGAAGUACCUCGGUAUGUAAAGCCCUAUCAGCAGGGAAGAAACAGGACAGUACCUGACUAAGAAGCCCCGGCUAACUACGUGCCAGCAGCCGCGGUAAUACGUAGGGGGCAAGCGUUAUCCGGAUUUACUGGGUGUAAAGGGAGCGUAGGUGGCAUGGUAAGCCAGAAGUGAAAACCCAGGGCUCAACUCUGUGGAUUGCUUUUGGAACUAUCAAGCUAGAGUGCUGGAGGGGG